GCUAACACUCCUUUUUGUUAGGAAAUGGCGAAUCGGAAUAGUGGGAAGAGGAUUCAACACUGAGCUCAGGAGGACUGAGAUGCAUGAUAAUUACCAGAGAGGUUAUAAUUACAUUCGCAGCAUCAGCCGUAUAUAAUGGUGUUUUGUGUCACACACUUCGGGGAUUAGUUACAUAAAUGUGCCAGUGUGCUAUGAUUUUAUUGAGUCAAUCGGACUGAGGAUUAACCCCAAUAUAAAGAAUUCAGAUGGUGUGGAUAAAGAAAUCUUAGGUACCGCCUCCAACCGGAAAGUGCAGGACAAAGAAUUAAACUCAAGGAGACAGUCUAUGUAAACCAGAUGUUCUCACCACGUUCAACACAUUCAACAGGAUCCCUCCAUUCGUAUCCAGAAGGGCGCCUGCCACACACCCCCUUCAGUUAGCAGGAUAAACAUCUACCCUGUUCUAAGCAGAUGUCCCAGCACACGGAGUCUGCACAUCUGGGAAACAUUGCUGGCUAACACAUCGUUCCAACUAUCUGAGUCAUCUCUUUCUUCCUCUGUUUAACUCCAAGACGACAGCACAGUCAUUUCUGGAACAACUACAUAAAACUCCAACCAAGAAUCUCCGAAUAAAUGACACCGUUCUCCACACACAGAGAACAGAGCCUUACAUGGAAAGAGCUUGGCCACUCGACCAUCUUAACACUCCCCUCCCAUUGCCCCAGUCUCCAAACACCAACCCAGCCUGGGACCUUUUCCUGCCUAACCAUAACUCCAUUAAAAUAUUCUCCCAACGAAA